UCCGGGAAACCGGGGCUAAUACCGGAUGGUUGUCUGAACCGCAUGGUUCAGACAUAAAAGGUGGCUUCGGCUACCACUUACAGAUGGACCCGCGGCGCAUUAGCUAGUUGGUGAGGUAACGGCUCACCAAGGCGACGAUGCGUAGCCGACCUGAGAGGGUGAUCGGCCACACUGGGACUGAGACACGGCCCAGACUCCUACGGGAGGCAGCAGUAGGGAAUCUUCCGCAAUGGACGAAAGUCUGACGGAGCAACGCCGCGUGAGUGAUGAAGGUUUUCGGAUCGUAAAGCUCUGUUGUUAGGGAAGAACAAGUGCCGUUCAAAUAGGGCGGCACCUUGACGGUACCUAACCAGAAAGCCACGGCUAACUACGUGCCAGCAGCCGCGGUAAUACGUAGGUGGCAAGCGUUGUCCGGAAUUAUUGGGCGUAAAGGGCUCGCAGGCGGUUUCUUAAGUCUGAUGUGAAAGCCCCCGGCUCAACCGGGGAGGGUCAUUGGAAACUGGGGAACUUGAGUGCAGAAGAGGAGAGUGGAAUUCCACGUGUAGCGGUGAAAUGCGUAGAGAUGUGGAGGAACACCAGUGGCGAAGGCGACUCUCUGGUCUGUAACUGACGCUGAGGAGCGAAAGCGUGGGGAGCGAACAGGAUUAGAUACCCUGGUAGUCCACGCCGUAAACGAUGAGUGCUAAGUGUUAGGGGGUUUCCGCCCCUUAGUGCUGCAGCUAACGCAUUAAGCACUCCGCCUGGGGAGUACGGUCGCAAGACUGAAACUCAAAGGAAUUGACGGGGGCCCGCACAAGCGGUGGAGCAUGUGGUUUAAUUCGAAGCAACGCGAAGAACCUUACCAGGUCUUGACAUCCUCUGACAAUCCUAGAGAUAGGACGUCCCCUUCGGGGGCAGAGUGACAGGUGGUGCAUGGUUGUCGUCAGCUCGUGUCGUGAGAUGUUGGGUUAAGUCCCGCAACGAGCGCAACCCUUGAUCUUAGUUGCCAGCAUUCAGUUGGGCACUCUAAGGUGACUGCCGGUGACAAACCGGAGGAAGGUGGGGAUGACGUCAAAUCAUCAUGCCCCUUAUGACCUGGGCUACACACGUGCUACAAUGGACAUAACAAAGGGCAGCGA
rnacentral:rRNA from 1 species